GGCGUAACCGCUCGCAAUUUUUAAAUGGCAGAGAUGAGAUUGCCGCAUUUCUCGCCGAAAAGUGGCAAAAAGAGGAUGGCUACCGCCUCAUCAA
rnacentral:sRNA from 12 species